UACAGAGACUGCAAGCGUUAUUCGGAUUCACUGGGCGUAAAGCGCACGUAGGCGGAUUGCUAAGUCAGGGGUGAAAUCCUGGAGCUCAACUCCAGAACUGCCUUUGAUACUGGUGAUCUUGAGUCCGGGAGAGGUGAGUGGAACUGCGAGUGUAGAGGUGAAAUUCGUAGAUAUUCGCAAGAACACCAGUGGCGAAGGCGGCUCACUGGCCCGGUACUGACGCUGAGGUGCGGAAAGCG
rnacentral:rRNA from 1 species